GGCGAGUAGAUGAGGGAAGAGCACCAAGAUUGAAAGCUGGCGUCUUCGGCGUCCGCAUUGUAAUCUCAAGAAGUGUUUUCCGCUUCGGACCAUGCCUAAGUCCCUUGGAAAAGGGCAUCAUAGAGGGUGAUAAUCCCGUACAUGGCAUGGAGCGCCCGAAGCUUUGUGAUACGCUUUCUAAGAGUCGAGUUGUUUGGGAAUGCAGCUCAAAAUGGGUGGUAAAUGCCAUCUAAGGCUAAAUAUUGGGGAGAGACCGAUAGCGAACAAGUACAGUGAUGGAAAGAUGAAAAGAACUUUGAAAAGAGAGUUAAACAGUACGUGAAAUUGCCAAAAGGGAAGGGUAGGAGGUCAGAGAUGCGGCCUGGGAUUCAGCCUUGCUUUUGCUUGGUGUUUUUCCCAGAUUGCAGGCCAACGUCGGUUUUGGGCACUGGAGAAGGGUAGGAGGAACGUGGCACCUCUCGGGGUGUGUUAUAGCCUCCUACUGGAUACAGCGACCGAGACCGAGGACAGCAGCGUACUCGCAAGAGCGGGCCUUCGGGCACCUUUACGCUUAGGGCGUUGGCAUAAUGGCCCUCUACCACCCGUCUUGA
rnacentral:rRNA from 1 species